rnacentral:rRNA from 1 species
GACGAACGCUGGCGGCGUGCUUAACACAUGCAAGUCGAACGGAAAGGCCCUGCUUUUGUGGGGUGCUCGAGUGGCGAACGGGUGAGUAACACGUGAGUAACCUGCCCUUUACUUUGGGAUAACUUCAGUAAACUGGGGCUAAUACCGGAUAGGAGCUCCUGCUGCAUGGUGGGGUUUGGAAAGUUUCGGCGGUUGGGGAUGUACUCGCGGCUUAUCAGCUUGUUGGUGGGGUAGUGGCUUACCAAGGCUUUGACGGGUAGCCGGCCUGAGAGGGUGACCGGACACAUUGGGAAUGAGAUAAGGCCCAGAAUCAGACGGGAGGAAGCAGUGGGGAAUAUUGCACAAAGGGCGGAAGCCUGAGGCAGGAACGACGCGUGCGGGAUGACGGCCUUCGGGUUGUAAACCGCUUGCGCCUGUGACGAAGCGUGAGUGACGGUAAUGGGUAAAGAAGCACCGGCUAACUACGUG